CUCAGCAGAGGCAGGAGGUGAUCAGCUCUCCCCGUUUCUGAAUAAAUGUCACAGGUCCAGUUCAAACCCAAUGGGAGUGAAUUACAUACAGCCUGGAUAUUGAAAGGAAGGAGAGCAUUGGGAGCCAUCUGAGAAGUAGGACCCUAGAUCUUCUGGGUCCCCCUCAAGGAGCUCACAUAUGCCUUCAAACAGAAAUGUCACCCAGACAUGUAACAGUGUCCUUGCUCUGUGUCUGUUGUUUCUAAGACUCCCCGUGUGACUUGUCUCUUUCCUAAUGUGUGCUAAGUACCUGAUACU